rnacentral:rRNA from 1 species
UACGGGGGGGGCAAGCGUUGUUCGGAAUUACUGGGCGUAAAGGGCUCGUAGGCGGCCAACUAAGUCAGACGUGAAAUCCCUCGGCUUAACCGGGGAACUGCGUCUGAUACUGGUGGGCUCGAAUCCGGGAGAGGGAUGUGGAAUUCCAGGUGUAGCGGUGAAAUGCGUAGAUAUCUGGAGGAACACCGGUGGCGAAGGCGGCAUCCUGGACCGGCAUUGACGCUGAGGCGCGAAAGCCAGGGGAGCAAACGGG